rnacentral:lncRNA from 1 species
AUUCAAGUAAUGUUUCUUGUUGUCUGUUACCGUAAUAUUGCCAGAUUAGAACAGUAACACCCUUCUCUAUUUUCAUUAGUACGUUAUAGCUUGUUGGACACAACUUCAGAGACUUCAGAGUGUUCUGAGGACACCAAAGCUCAGGAAAUACAGAGUUUGUAUAUUAGAUCCAUAUAGAGUGAUGGACUGAGAUGGCUACGCCAAGUUUGAUUGAUUAACCUUUCAACUGAAGAAAGAAGAAGAACAUUUGUUUUCAAGUUUUUCACUGCUCACAUUUCAUAUGGUCAUAUUUUUCCACAUUUGCUGUUUAUCUGAAAAUACUCCCCUUGUGAAGCCACCUUGGAUAGCUUUUCUUCCAGCAUUUGCUUUGAAGCAAACCCUCAGCUAAAGUGAUCAAAACUGUAAGGACAAAAGACUGCUUAUUUCUCUCGACAAGUUUGAGCAAGCCCAACAAGCCCUCAAGCUAACUCAGAUAAUCUACUAAUUCAAAAUAACGUCUUUAGGGAUGGAUGGGGUAAUUAUUGCAAACAUAGUGUUUCUAAUUUCUGGAUACUAUACAUGUAAAUAAACUUCACUGACAUUGUGCUGCA